rnacentral:rRNA from 1 species
GUGGUAAUGCCGGAUGUUCCACAUGAUCGCAUGUGAUUGUGGGAAAGAUUCUAUCGGCGUGGGAUGGGGUCGCGUCCUAUCAGCUUGUUGGUGAGGUAACGGCUCACCAAGGCUUCGACGGGUAGCCGGCCUGAGAGGGCGACCGGCCACAUUGGGACUGAGAUACGGCCCAGACUCCUACGGGAGGCAGCAGUGGGGAAUAUUGCACAAUGGGCGCAAGCCUGAUGCAGCGACGCCGCGUGAGGGAUGGAGGCCUUCGGGUUGUAAACCUCUUUUGUUUGGGAGCAAGCCUUCGGGUGAGUGUACCUUUCGAAUAAGCGCCGGCUAACUACGUGCCAGCAGCCGCGGUAAUACGUAGGGCGCAAGCGUUAUCCGGAUUUAUUGGGCGUAAAGGGCUCGUAGGCGGCUCGUCGCGUCCGGUGUGAAAGUCCAUCGCUUAACGGUGGAUCUGCGCCGGGUACGGGCGGGCUGGAGUGCGGUAGGGGAGACUGGAAUUCCCGGUGUAACGGUGGAAUGUGUAGAUAUCGGGAAGAAC